GAGUCUUCGAUGAAGAACUUGCAGGAAGAAAGCUCAGAGCUGAGAAUAAUCUCUGAGAAGGACAGAAAGGAGAAAGAAGUCCUUCACAAAAAGCUGGAGGACAUGGAUGAACUUCUGAGAAAGAAGGCUGUUUUGGAGAGUUCCCUCUCAGACGUGAAUGGCGAGUUGCAGGGAUCGCAGGAAAAGGUGAGGGCACUUCAAGAGUCCUGCCAAAUUCUCAAUGGAGAAAAAUUGACCCUUGUUGCUGAGAAAGGUUCUUUGCUAUCUCAGUUGCAAAUUAUAACUGAUAGCAUGCAGAAACUCCUAGAGAAAAAUGCGGUUCUUGAGAACUCUCUUUUUGGUGCAAAAAUUGAACUUGAAGGUCUGAGGGAAAAAUCCAAGGGAUUAGAAGAGAUCUGUCAAUUGCUGAAGAAUGAGAAGUCCAAUCUUCUUGCUGAAAGAGGUAGCCUAGAGCUUCAGUUGGAAAAUGUUGAACGGAGACUAGAAUAUCUGGA
rnacentral:misc_RNA from 1 species